rnacentral:rRNA from 1 species
UACGUAGGGGGCAAGCGUUAUCCGGAUUUACUGGGUGUAAAGGGAGCGUAGGCGGCAAGGUAAGCCAGAAGUGAAAGCCCGCGGCUCAACUGCGGGACUGCUUUUGGAACUAUCUAGCUAGAAUGCGGUAGAGGUAAAGGGAAUUCCUGGUGUAGCGGUGAAAUGCUUAGAUAUCAGGAGGAACAUCGGUGGCGUAAGCGCUUUACUGGGCCGUAAUUGACGCUGAGGAACGAAAGCCAGGGUAGCAAAUGGG